AGAGAUUCCAUCACGAAGCAC
rnacentral:miRNA from 1 species